GCUUGCUAUCUAAUUACUCUAAAGGCACAAGAUUCUGUCCGAUCCUGGAAGCUAAGCAGAGCCAGUUCUGGUUAGUACUUAGAUGGGAAACCAUCAAUGAAUACCAUUGCUGUGGGCU
rnacentral:rRNA from 1 species